CUGCAGACUGUUAUCCCUUCUGGAGCUGGUGUGCUCCUGGAGGGAGUCGCUCUGCUACAGAAAAUCACAGGUGUGCUCCUGUCAGCAGCUGCUGAUAUGCAGGAGCUCACCUGAGGACA
rnacentral:snoRNA from 1 species